AGUGUGAUAAAGCGUCAGCCGAUUGUUGUUAAGCCCGUGUCGAUAUUGCGCGAAGUCUUCGAUAUGGCCAUGGAUACCUGUCGGUACGGUGCGGGCGCAUUCCGCGUACGGUCGUAGGCCUCUGCUCCUCCUUUUAGUCUACUCAUAUCCAGUCACCUGCAUGAGUGAGUCGGCGGUGAGGCGUCGAGUUUUGCUGAAGAAGUAAGGGCCGUCCGUGUUCGUCGCAGCGGCAGGUCCAGAUUGCCACAGUCUUAGAUUCACGAUGAUGGAUAGUUCGUAGCGCUAUCACGGCCACACCUCUUUUCGCUGUCGAUCACCCAUCCUUCAACACGACGCACAUCCGACCACGUCCGAUUCCACAGAACGACUGUGCAGUGCCUCCUGUCGGUUAACCGUUAUUAUUUCGAAUUGCUUACAGCACUGCUUCUUGAUUGGCUACAAUUCAGCAGUACAACAUGGUACCUGCGCACAUCCUCCCGCGAAUAUAUAAGAAUAUAAACGUAUAAUAUUUGUAUUUUAAGAUUGAUAAAAUAGAUGUGUAAGUACGAUUUUAACAAGCUGUCUUAACA
rnacentral:misc_RNA from 1 species